AGUGAACGCUGGCGGUAUGCCUAACACAUGCAAGUCGAACGGCAGCACAGUAAGAGCUUGCUCUUACGGGUGGCGAGUGGCGGACGGGUGAGGAAUACAUCGGAAUCUACUUUUUCGUGGGGGAUAACGUAGGGAAACUUACGCUAAUACCGCAUACGACCUACGGGUGAAAGCAGGGGAUCUUCGGACCUUGCGCGAUUGAAUGAGCCGAUGUCGGAUUAGCUAGUUGGCGGGGUAAAGGCCCACCAAGGCGACGAUCCGUAGCUGGUCUGAGAGGAUGAUCAGCCACACUGGAACUGAGACACGGUCCAGACUCCUACGGGAGGCAGCAGUGGGGAAUAUUGGACAAUGGGCGAAAGCCUGAUACAGCAAUACCGCGUGGGUGAAGAAGGCCUUCGGGUUGUAAAGCCCUUUUGUUGGGAAAGAAAAGCAGCAGGUUAAUACCCCGCUGUUAUGACGGUACCCAAAGAAUAAGCACCGGCUAACUUCGUG
rnacentral:rRNA from 1 species